rnacentral:rRNA from 1 species
CAGCCGCCACGGUAACACGAAGGGGGCUAGCGUUGCUCGGAAUGACUGGGCGUAAAGGGCGCGUAGGCGGCGAUCAAAGUCAGGCGUGAAAUUCCUGGGCUCAGCCUGGGGGCUGCGCUUGAUACUUGGUUGCUUGAGUGGGGAAGAGGGUCGUGGAAUUCCCAGUGUAGAGGUGAAAUUCGUAGAUAUUGGGAAGAACACCGGUGGCGAAGGCGGCGACCUGGUCCUUGACUGACGCUGAGGCGCGAAAGCGUGGGGAGCAAACAGGAUUAGAUACCCGCGUAGUCCCUGUCUCUUAUAC